CUUCUCAUACCUGAACUUACACCAAUGGUACCAACACUUUUAUGACCAAUAAUAUGCAUGAGAUAAAAUAAUAUUGGGCCAUUGUAAAUUGAGAUGAAGUAACCAUUUUCAUCUUUUCUGCAUGGACCAGACAUUC